rnacentral:tRNA from 1 species
GAAAAUUUAGUUAAAAAACAUAACAUUAGCCUGUCAGCCUAAAAUUAUAAUUAAUUAUAAUUUUCU